GGUACGGGGGCGGCCUGGGGUGGCGUGAGCGCGGGGCUGGGAGAACUCCAGACGCUCCGCGGGCCGGCUGCUUGAGGGCGGCUUUUAGGAUCACUUGCUGAGAGCAGAGAAGAGUGAGAGGACCAGUUAUCAGCGUUAAGCUGUCUGCUCUCGCUCCAGAAGGCACUUGUGUGUUCUGCUUACCGACACGGUCAUGGUCAAGCCCCUGAUAUCUGGAGGUCGCAGGCCUGCUGGCUUUUGUGGCUGCUUGAAAUUCUCCUUUACUGCCUACUUUUUGGGAAGAUGUGUGGAGGGCCAUGGCUGACUUGGAUGCAGUUGGAGUCAUCUCACAGCACAUGGAAUACACAAUUUAUCUUGCUUCCUGUCUUGAUAACGACAUCUUGGUUUUCAUGCUGUCUUAGAACAAGUAGAACUUGACUUACAUAGGUAGAGACUGAUGCAAACGGAGAAGUUUGGUGGUUCUCCACUGGCCACAGCUAAGCUAGCAAAAAGCAAAAAGCAGAGCCUGCAUUGGAACCAGGCUUUGUGACUCCAGACCCCAACUCUUCACCCUUGGGCUUCUUGCAGCACGCCUGAUUUCUUGUCACU